rnacentral:lncRNA from 1 species
AGAGUUUAAAUUGGCGUUGAACUUUCCCCUAUUUUUUUCCUCCAAUUUUGGCUGCAGAGCGAAGCUGAGCACUGGAGGAGUCUCAGUGGCGACUCCGAACCCCUAAGCUUUAUCCAGGGAUUUCUCAGCAUCGCCUGUCCGCUUUGCUAGGGGAAAGGGUGGUGACGAGGCAGUAGCCGUGAGGCAAGACGAGUAUUCGGGAUGUUGUGAGCAGGACAUGGGAGAGCAGUGGUGCCAGACUGAGCACGCUAAGCAGUGGCUGUGUUCAGACCAAAAGCAGGGACCCUGGACAUUAGCAACUGCAAAUGGAGUUACUGCCCUGUGCUGUCAUGUGUUGCCACCAAAUGUGAUGGAGGAGAAGCCACAGAUGCCUUCAGCUGAAAGAGAAGGUAGACUCCUGCAUGGAUCAUGGCCUAAAAGUGGUAGCCUUCCAAAAGAGACUCUGGGCUUGCCUGUGGUAAAGUACAACGUAAGCGAUGGAGAGUAA